GACGAACGCUGGCGGCGUGCUUAAACACAUGCAAGUGGAGCGACGAACCAGGCUUCGGCCUGGGGCAGAGCCGCGAACGAGUGAGUAACACGUGGGUAACCUGCCCUGAUGAUUGGGACAACCCGAGGAAACUCGGGCUAAUACCAAAUGUGCCCUCCGGCCGUUAAGGCCUCUGGGGAAAGGAAGCUUCGGCCUCCGCAUCGGGAUGGGCCCGCGGCCCAUUGGCUUGUUGGUGAGGUAACGGCUCGCCAAGGCUACGAUGGGUAGCUGGUCUGAGAGGACGAUCAGCCACACUGGGACUGAGACACGGCCCAGGACUCCUACGGGAGGCAGCAGUGGGGAAUCUUGCGCAAUGCGCGAAAGCGUGACGCAGCAACGCCGCGUGGGGGAAGAAGGCCUGGUGU
rnacentral:rRNA from 1 species